AGAAUGCCCACGAUAUGCAGUGUGCUAGCCACCGAGCUUACAGCAGUGAACAGAAUUUAAUUUCCCUGAGCUUUCUUUGUCCCAUCCCUGUGUGAUGCCUGUGUAUGUUCAUGAGAGUGUGAGACCUCUUUUAUCCUGUACCCAGUGUUGAUAUGUUCUCCAAUUUUCUUUAUUAGAAAAGUAAACAAUACUCUUCACUUAACUCAAUUUUUGUCUAAUUUCAGCUUAUGUAAUAAAAAUGGGCAAACAGCUGAAGAUCUUGCUUGGUCAUGUGGCUUUCCAGAAUGUGCCAGGUUUCUAACAAUGAUUAAAUGUACGCAGACAGCAAAAUCCUCACGUGAGCACCCCGAGGGUGACCCCUAUGCUCCUGUGCUGAGACAGAAGCGGAGUUUCAGAACUAUGGAGAGCAGAGUGUUGAAGAGAAAGUGUUGAUGAUGUCUUGUUGGGCAAGAGGAGAGAAGAGGCUUGAAGACGGGCUUCACUUCAGACAGAUCUAUAAGCCAUUGCUUUGGCUUAACACAUGGCUACACUCCUGAGGAGGAAAGCUUUCUUCCAAGUGAAGAGAAAUUCAUUCAUGCAUGUGUUUACAUGACUAGUAUUUUGGAUGUACAUGUUUUGUUAUUUAACUUAUUAAAAGAAUAU
rnacentral:lncRNA from 1 species